GACAUAGGUGGCAAACGUUAUCCGGAAUUAUUGGGCGUAAAGGAUGCGUAGGUGGUCUGAUAAGUUAUUAGUGGGAAAUCGAGGCUCAACCUCGUAGAAGUUAGUAAUACUGUCAGACUUGAGGAUAGGAGAGGUUAACGGAACUCCCGGUGGAGCGGUAAAAUGUGUAGAUAUCGGGAAGAACACCAAUGGCGAAGGCAGUUAACUAUUCUACUUCUGACAUUGAGGCAUGAAAGCGUGGGGAGCAAAACGG
rnacentral:rRNA from 1 species